UACGAAGGGAGCUAGCGUUGUUCGGAAUCACUGGGCGUAAAGCGCACGUAGGCGGGUCUUUAAGUCAGGGGUGAAAUCCUGGAGCUCAACUCCAGAACUGCCUUUGAUACUGAAGAUCUUGAGUUCGGGAGAGGUGAGUGGAACUGCGAGUGUAGAGGUGAAAUUCGUAGAUAUUCGCAAGAACACCAGUGGCGAAGGCGGCUCACUGGCCCGAUACUGACGCUGAGGUGCGAAAGCGUGGGGAGCAAACAGG
rnacentral:rRNA from 1 species